AACACUUGUUUGCUGAAGUGGCAGUAUCUAGUUCGGCUCAUUUGUAACGGGAGCCAGGGGUGUGUGUGUGUGUGUGUGUGUGUGUGUGCAAAUGCAAAUGCAAAACCCACAUGCCCCAAAGAAGGCAGCGAGGGAUUAGUCUGUAAACCAAAAGACAUCCAUAACCAUCUGUGCUAGCAUAGCAUAACUCAAAUCAAAUCAAAUCCAAUUUUAUUUGUCACAUACACAUGGUUAGCAGAUGUUAAUGCGAGUGUAGCGAAAUGCUUGUGCUUCUAGUUCCGACAAUGCAGUAAUAACCAACAAGUAAUCUAACUAACAAUUCCAAAACUACUGUCUUAUNNNNNNNNNNAGGUUGGCUCAAUGCAAACAGACAGAAGGUCAUGGAGCUGAGACUGGUUGUGUGUGUGUGUGUGUGUUGAGACAGUUGGUCAGCUGAUAAUGCCAUGCACAGCUGUGUAAGUCAGCUUUGCUGCAUCGUUUUGAUUGAUUGGAUGUGGGGCAUAGGCCCUCAUAGCCCGGCUGUUUGCGUCAUAGGGCUCAAAGGCCAGGGAAAGUUCCGGAAACACCACUCGAGUGAUGUGCAGGUGAAUCCUCCUACCCCUACUCUCCACCCAAUGACCUUCAUGCACCCACGCACUUAACCCAGCUGUUACCUGGCAACCCAGCUCCUGCAUGGAACACCUCGUUGCCAUGUCAACAGAACGCAAUACACAUGGAAGUGGGGUGUUUUGUGCUGGCAGUCAUUGUCAAGGGGCGAGAAACAAACCUCCAACUGCGUUUUUGAACACUAGACGUUUUUUUAGAGGCUGAUGAGGGUCUCAUGGGGAUGUGGUCGACACACCGCCACACCAGAAAAUCACCCAGAUGGCUAAUAUUUCCUAGGUCUCAGUGGAACAAUCAGUGUUGAUGACUAACAAUUUGUCUAGGUCCAUUUCUGACAUUCAUUGUCUUUUGUGUAUUUUGUGUCUUGUGUAUGUUAGUGUAACAGGGUUGGUUAUGUUUCCACUUGCCUCUAAAGAAAUGUGUAUUUAAUGUUCAAGCAUUCUUAUUGGUUAGUUCAACUCUGAUGACAAUAAGGUGUGUUGUGAUUGGCCCCGCUUGCAGAUAGGGGGAGAUCGCGAACGUCAGGUCUCCCCAGUAUGAAAAUGUGAUGCAAGGGGUAGGUCACGUUCUGAAUACUGUUUUCUAUUUUCUAUUUUACAAUGUGUAGAAGUUUGCUGUACAUUACUGAUUUAUACAUGUGUGGGUAUAUGGUACCUGUUAGGGAUUGAGGGUCUUUCCGGGAUGUGCUUUGGCAUAUGAUUGCUGUAAAUAAGUGUGUUAGCUAGCAUACACCAAUGUAACAGUAUCAAUGUAACAGUAUGACUUUAGACCGUCCCCUCGCCCAUAUCCGGGCGCGAACCAGGGACCCUCUGCACACAUCAACAGUCACCCACGAAGCAUCGUUACCAAUCGCUCCACAAAAGCCGCGGCCCUUGCAGAGCAAGGGGAACUACUACUUCAAGGUCUCAGAGAAAGUGACAUCACCGAUUGAAACGCUGUUUUAGCGCGCACCGCUAACUAAGCUAGCCGUUUCACAUCCGUUAGAUUAGGACAUUUUGGAUUCUUGGUGUUUUACUUAAAUUACACAUUUUGAGGAUUAAAAAUCACCUGUAGACAUUAAUUUGUGUGUAGUCUCAUCUAU
rnacentral:lncRNA from 13 species